rnacentral:rRNA from 1 species
GACGAACGCUGGCGGCGUGCUUAACACAUGCAAGUCGAACGAUGAACUUGGAGCUUGCUCUGGGGGAUUAGUGGCGAACGGGUGAGUAACACGUGAGUAACCUGCCCUGGACUCUGGGAUAACUUCGAGAAAUCGGAGCUAAUACCGGAUAGGACCUUGCACCGCAUGGUGUGGGGUGGAAAGUUUUUCAGUUUGGGAUGGACUCGCGGCCUAUCAGCUUGUUGGUGAGGUAAUGGCUCACCAAGGCGUCGACGGGUAGCCGGCCUGAGAGGGGGACCGGCCACACUGGGACUGAGACACGGCCCAGACUCCUACGGGAGGCAGCAGUGGGGAAUAUUGCACAAUGGGCGCAAGCCUGAUGCAGCAACGCCGCGUGCGGGAUGACGGCCUCCGGGUUGUAAACCGCUUUUAGUAGGGAAGAAGCCUUCGGGUGACGGUACCUGCAGAAAAAGGACCGGCUAACUACGUGCCAGCCGCCGCCGUAAUAC